AGUAACACGUGGAUAACCUACCUAUAAGACUGGGAUAACUUCGGGAAACCGGAGCUAAUACCGGAUAAUAUUUUGAACCGCAUGGUUCAAAAGUGAAAGACGGUCUUGCUGUCACUUAUAGAUGGAUCCGCGCUGCAUUAGCUAGUUUGUAAGGUAACGGCUUACCAAGGCAACGAUGCAUAGCCGACCUGAGAGGGUGAUUGGCCACACUGGAACUGAGACACGGUCCAG
rnacentral:rRNA from 1 species